AGCGAACGUUUGCGGCGGGCCUAACACAUGCAAGUCGAACGCACUAGCAAUAGUGAGUGGCGCACGGGUGCGUAACACGUGGGUAAUCAACCCUUCAGCCUGGGAUAACGACUCGAAAGGGUCGCUAAUACCGGAUACGGCGCGAGAGGCUUCGGCUUCUCACGAGAAAGCCACGCAAGGGGCACUGAAGGACGAGCCUGCGGCCCAUCAGCUAGUUGGUGAGGUAAGAGCUCACCAAGGCUAAGACGGGUAGCUGGUCUGAGAGGAUGAUCAGCCACACUGGAACUGAGACACGGUCCAGACUCCGUACGGGAGGCAGCAGGUAGGGGAAUUAGUUGCGACAAGU
rnacentral:rRNA from 1 species